CUUCAGUACCUCCCCUGCUGGCCUUUCAAGGCCAUACAGCGCUCCCUGCGGACCCAGCUGACGCCUCCCUGCGGGUCGCUGGUCCACCACCCCGCUGUACAUACCCCUUUCCUAAACUAAGCCCUGACGCCAGCAACUCUCUGAGCCAUGCCCACAUCUUGAACCACUGACUUUGUUCCCUGGGGAUGGCCUCUUGGUUCAUACGUACCUCUGACUGUCCCCCUCUACUGAGUCGCAGAGCGGCCAGAGUAGGAGUGGAUUUGCAGUGUCAGAGCAGGACAGACAGAGUAUUUAAGAACGUUGGACAGGAUAGACUACUGCAGAAGUCACUAACCCGUGCCGGAGUGCGAGGUCAGUUGGCUACAGGUCGGUUGAGAGUUUCUGUUCGGAUCGUCGGUGCAGGGGCAAUUCAGGAUGUAAACAUUGCCUCAAUCCACGAAGCUGGAAUCUUUUUAUCUUGACACAAGCCCCCAGCGAGUAACUGCCAUCCAUGGUCAUCUCUACCCCCUGCGCCCUGCCCAGAGCCUGCUAUAUGAAUCUUUAGGAUCAGGUUGUGGAGUUCAAAAGGAAAAUGCUUUUAAAAGAAUCUACAACCAUAUGGAGUUGCACAGGAGGAACACAGAAAGAUGUCAAAACACAUUACUCCCAUGGCCUUUGAGCCAUCUCUCAGCAGAUUCCCUUGAGGGAACUGACAGCACUUUGAAGGCCAUGGAAACUCCUUCAACCAAUGGAGAACUAAAAAGUGGAAACUGGAACACUGCAUCUGUCCCAGAAGGAUGAUCAUCACAGCACAUCGUAGGAGAGCCAGCCAGGGUCCAAACAGCUCCUGCCAGAGACUGUUCUGAACAUUGGAUAAGAUAUGGAUGGCCCCUGUGCCUGAGGAUCCCCUGAUUUAAUGGGAAGAGUGAGUGGUGAACAAAUGUUACAAUCCAGGGAGAAAGUGCUAUAGGAGCGGCAGCACAGAGCAUUAUGGGAGCAAGGGGAGCUCCUUACGGAGCCCAGGAGACCAUGGGGGACUUGCCAGAGGACAUGGCAUCAAAAGCAGAGCUAUGCCUCCGUUCUGGGCCAUGACUUCGGUUCUCGGGAAAGCUUAUUAACUUCUCUGGGACCUCAGUUUUCCCAUCUGAAAAGUGAGAAGGCCGAGAAAUUUAUAGGAUUUCUGGGAUGCUUAGAAUACAUAAUUCUGGUACAUCCGUCCAUGGCUCCUGGUGCAGGGUAAGUCCUCAGUAAAUAGGAGGGGCUGUUAUCGCUAUGACUAUGAAUGCCGUUUCAACAGAGGGGUUAGAGGGAAAGGGCCAAAGCGGGAGGCUGGGAACAACUCAAGCAGGUGACCUUCAAAGCACCCUGUGCAAAUAUCGAGUCCUUUUCUGAGCGCUGAGAAAGUGCCUAUUUGGAAAGGCAGCCAGCUGGAGUGACAUUUACUCCCGGUGUGACACAGGAGGCAGAUGAACGGUGAGUGGGGCGCAUUGUCUGGCAGUGAAGACGCAGACACAACAUGAAGAAUAAGCCUUCCAGGGGCUGCCCAAAGGUCACCACACACGCCUUUUGAUUAGAAAAAGCAGUCCAUACAGACGGCAGAGCAUUUUGUACAGUGCUUCAAACAUGCAGAGAAUGUGCUCAGAAAAUAUCUGUCGAAAGCCUGGUUAGAGAGGGUGAGUAGGAAAAUCUAAAAAAAAAAUGCACAGGUUUAGCUUUUCACCAAACACGCAAAUCCUCAUUUAUCAGCCUCUGUCACCACACCCAAAGCAAUGGGUUGGCUUUAUUAUGUGCCCGCUGUCCUCCCUUCCCUUUCUCGAAACGCCUCUUUCUUGUAAACCCAGCUCUGGUGCCCCUCAAUAGCUACAGGGCCCCAAACCCCCAGAGAGCCUGUCCUCCUGCCUGGGAGAAGUGGCAUG